UACGUAGGGGGCAAGCGUUGUCCGGAAUUAUUGGGCGUAAAGCGCGCGCAGGCGGCUUCUUAAGUCUGAUGUGAAAGCCCACGGCUCAACCGUGGAGGGUCAUUGGAAACUGGGAAGCUUGAGUGCAGAAGAGGAGAGUGGAAUUCCACGUGUAGCGGUGAAAUGCGUAGAUAUGUGGAGGAACACCAGUGGCGAAAGCGGCUCUCCGGUCUGUAACUGACGCUGAGGCGCGAAAGCGUGGGGAGCAAACAGG
rnacentral:rRNA from 1 species